rnacentral:lncRNA from 1 species
GAGCGUUCCAAUCUCCACAUUCCCUCCCCUGGCUUGAGAACCAUGUAGCCAGAAAAGCUUAUCUUUGAAAUGAACCACAGAUCGAUCAUAUAUUUUUUGGAGUACUUUGCAGCUUGGAAGGGAUAUUUUCUUCUUUUUCCCAAGGCUGACUUGGUCAAAGCAAAUAUUGUUACCGGACCCCAAGCUCAAAGAGGCUCACUUCUCAGUUUCACAGAAAAAAUUCAACUGGACCUGACUUCUGGCUGAGUGACUUCUCAGACACAUCAUCGGACCUUAAGCUAGUUAUAGCAAAUGGAUGGAACUUGAAGAUAUCAACCUGAGUGAGGAGACUCCAUCACAAAAGAAUACACAAGAUGGAGAAUUCUCAAGCUAUAAGUUCAGCACCAUGUCUGCUUCCAUGCAGGCAGGCUUUCAGUCAUGAUCACCGUGGACUAAAACUCUGAAACUAAAAUGUGAAAAUACACAUGAAGAAAAGACAGAGCCCUCAAAGAAGUGAUAAUGAGAAACUGGACAUCUACUUGUAAAGAAUAAAUCAGAUCUCUAUCUUUAACCUUGUAUAGAAAACAAUUCAACAUGAAGUAAAGACCUUAAUGUUAAGAUCUGGAACUCUGAAACUCUUAGAGAAAAAAAGGGGAGAAAAAUUUCAAGGUAUAGGCAUGAUCAAGGACUCUCCAUAAAGGUCUUUAAUUGCUCAAGAAAUAAUGCUAGAAAUUGACAAAUGAGAAUACAUUAAAUAAAAAAUGUUUCUACACAGAAAAAAAAAUUCCAGAAUGGAAAAAGGAAAAAAAACAAAAAACAAAUCUUUGUUAACAACACAAACAUAUCUAAUGAAGAUUAACAUUUAGAAUAUACAAAGAACUCAAAAAAACUAAAUGCCAAGAAGUCAAACAACCCAGCCAACAAGAGGGUUAAUAUAAUAAAAUGAUAGUUAACAAAAUAUGGCCAGGACUGGAGAGAUGGUUCAGCGGUUAAGAGCACUGACUGCUCUUCCAGAGGUCCUGAGUUCCAUUCUCAGCAACCACAUGGUGGCUCACGGCCAUCUGUAAUGGUAUUGGAUGCCAUUUUCUAUUGUGUCUGAAGGCAGAGACAGUGUACUCACAUAUAUUUAAAAUAAAAACAUAAACAAAAACAAAAUAUGGACAAUGAAAGGGAAACUCUUUAACAUCACUAGCCAUAGGAAAAUGCAAGUAAAAACCACACUGAGAUUUAUUUCACCCAAAUCAGAAUGACAACCAGUAAUAAACAAGGAACGAAGGCUGGUGAGGAUGCGGAGAAAAGGAAACCCUGAUGGGUUGAUGAGAAUAUAAGUUAGUCUCAUAACCAAGAAAAGCACAUGGUAGAAAGAGUCCUUAAAGAACUUACAAAGAAUUUGCUCGUAUCAGCCAGCUACCUUUCCUAGGUAUGUACCUGAAAUACUUUACAUGAACGUGUCACAGAGAUAUUUGUAUGUACUGCAGCACUGUUCACAAUAAACUAAGUUGUAAAAUCACCCCGUGUCCAUCAACAUUGAAAUUAAUAAAGAAAGCAUGUUGUAUGUGUACAAUAUAA